rnacentral:rRNA from 1 species
GCUCGAGUGCGGGCUGCCUCCGGGCGCCCAACCUCCCACCCGUGACUACCUAACACUGUUGCUUCGGCGGGGAGCCCUCUCGGGGGCGAGCCGCCGGGGACUACUGAACUUCAUGCCUGAGAGUGAUGCAGUCUGAGUCUGAAUAUAAAAUCAGUCAAAACUUUCAACAAUGGAUCUCUUGGUUCCGGCAUCGAUGAAGAACGCAGCGAACUGCGAUAAGUAAUGUGAAUUGCAGAAUUCAGUGAAUCAUCGAGUCUUUGAACGCACAUUGCGCCCCCUGGCAUUCCGGGGGGCAUGCCUGUCCGAGCGUCAUUGCUGCCCAUCAAGCCCGGCUUGUGUGUUGGGUCGUCGUCCCCCCCGGGGGACGGGCCCGAAAGGCAGCGGCGGCACCGUGUCCGGUCCUCGAGCGUAUGGGGCUUUGUCACCCGCUCGAUUAGGGCCGGCCGGGCGCCAGCCGACGUCUCCAACCAUUUUCUUCAGGUUGACCUCGGAUCAGGUAGGGAUACCCGCUGAACUUAAGCAUAUCAA